rnacentral:rRNA from 1 species
CAGCAGCCGCGGUAAGACAGAGGAUGCAAGCGUUAUCCGGAAUGAUUGGGCGUAAAGCGUCUGUAGGUGGCUUUUCAAGUCCGCCGUCAAAUCCCAGGGCUCAACCCUGGACAGGCGGUGGAAACUACCAAGCUGGAGUACGGUAAGGGCAGAGGGAAUUUCCGGUGGAGCGGUGAAAUGCGUUGAGAUGUGGAGGAACACCAGUGGCGAAGGCGACUCUCUGGUCUGUAACUGACGCUGAGGAGCGAAAGCGUGGGGAGCGAACAGGAUUAGAUACCCCUGUAGUCCCUGUCUCUUAUAC